rnacentral:rRNA from 1 species
AGGCGUCGACCGGCGCACGGGUGAGUAACGCGUAUCCAACCUGCCCAUCACUUGGGGAUAACCUUGCGAAAGUAAGACUAAUACCCAAUGACGUCUCUAGAAGACAUCUGAAAGAGAUUAAAGAUUUAUCGGUGAUGGAUGGGGAUGCGUCUGAUUAGCUUGUUGGCGGGGUAACGGCCCACCAAGGCUACGAUCAGUAGGGGUUCUGAGAGGAAGGUCCCCCACAUUGGAACUGAGACACGGUCCAAACUCCUACGGGAGGCAGCAGUGAGGAAUAUUGGUCAAUGGGCGAGAGCCUGAACCAGCCAAGUAGCGUGCAGGAUGACGGCCCUAUGGGUUGUAAACUGCUUUUAUAAGGGAAUAAAGUGAGCCUCGUGAGGCUUUUUGCAUGUACCUUAUGAAUAAGGACCGGCUAAUUCCGUGCCAGCAGCCGCGGUAAUACGGAAGGUCCGGGCGUUAUCCGGAUUUAUUGGGUUUAAAGGGAGCGUAGGCCGGAGAUUAAGCGUGUUGUGAAAUGUAGAUGCUCAACAUCUGCACUGCAGCGCGAACUGGUUUCCUUGAGUACGCACAAAGUGGGCGGAAUUCGUGGUGUAGCGGUGAAAUGCUUAGAUAUCACGAAGAACUCCGAUUGCGAAGGCAGCUCACUGGAGCGCAACUGACGCUGAAGCUCGAAAGUGCGGGUAUCGAACAGGAUUAGAUACCCUGGUAGUCCGCACGGUAAACGAUGGAUGCCCGCUGUUGGU